GAUGAAGAACGUAGCGAAAUGCGAUAAGUAAUGUGAAAUGCAGAAUUCAGUGAAUCAUCGAAUCUUUGAACGCACAUUGCGCCCGCCAGUAUUCUGGCGGGCAUGCCUGUUCGAGCGUCAUUUCAACCAUCAAGCCCCCGGCUUGUGUUGGGGACCUGCGGCUGCCGCAGGCCCUGAAAAGCAGUGGCGGGCUCGCUGUCACACCGAGCGUAGUAGAUUUCAUCUCGCUCAGGGCGUGCUGCGGGUUCCGGCCGUUAAACCACCUUCAUAACCCAAGGUUGACCUCGGAUCAGGUAGGAAGACCCGCUGAACUUAAGCAUAUCAAUAAGCGGAGGA
rnacentral:misc_RNA from 1 species